AUUCACUGCUGGUCUAGCGUGGGAAUCCCAGCACCACUAGCCUUCUAUGGUGCUGCCCCGCUGGGAGGCGGAGGGAGGCACUCUUCCUGCCAAGCAGUGGGCGAGGUCUAGCUUCUUCCUAUGUUCUCCACUGACAAUAUAGAGGGCAGGGGACUAAAUGGUUUUCAUUUUUAUAAGUUGCUGUCACAAACAAAGCCGUGUUGAAUGUGUGUACUCAGCUGGGAGUAUUUGGAGUCUUGGAGGUGGAACUACAGGUCACUUCAGCAAUUGUCACUGCAUCUCUGACUGCCCCGUCAUCUCAGAGCUAUCCUGAGACCAUGUGCAGACUGGCCAUUGUAAGCACUGGGACAGAGGAGGCCAGAGCAGCCUGGGCGGUGGGGCUGAGUGAGGGGGCACUGGGAAGCCGGGAUCCUUUGAACUGCAGGCUCUGUCAUCCUCAGCGUCACCGGACGGCCACCAGCGGCCAGACGUCUCUUCUGCAUUCAGGCAGGAAGAGCAGGAAGCGGCCAGGAGACAGGGCGGCGACUGCGUCUGGAAGCAGCCCUUCCCUGGCAGGCCAGACCCCUGCCUCGCGCACCUCACUAGUGAACCCGAUCACGCGCGGGGCCCCAGUGAGGGGCGGCGGGGGCGCGGGGCCAAGGCGG
ensembl:lncRNA